CAGCCGCCACGGUAAUACGUAGGGUGCGAGCGCUAAUCGGAAUUACUGGGCGUAAAGCGUGCGCAGGCGGUUAUAUGAGACAGAUGUGAAAUCCCCGGGCUCAACCUGGGACCUGCAUUUGUGACUGUAUAGCUAGAGUACGGUAGAGGGGGAUGGAAUUCCGCGUGUAGCAGUGAAAUGCGUAGAUAUGCGGAGGAACACCGAUGGCAAAGGCAAUCCCCUGGACCUGUACUGACGCUCAUGCACGAAAGCGUGGGGAGCAAACAGGAUUAGAUACCCCAGUAGUCCCUGUCUCUUAUAC
rnacentral:rRNA from 1 species